UUUGGGAGAGGGGUGCUAAAUUUUAGCACCCUCAUUUUAGUCACUUUUAGCUACUAGUGCUCCUAAACACCUAGGAUAAAAUGGAGGGGCUAAAUUUUAGCUUCCCAUAAUCCAUUAGCCCCUCAAGGUGUGCUAAAAUGGACUAGAAGUGCUAAAAGUGGUCCCCCUCGUCCAUUUUUCCACCCGGUACCCCUUCUCUCUCCUCCCACUCCUGCACCCCUUUUCUCUCCUCCCACUCCCGCACGCGCACCACACCCCUCCCCUCUCUCCUCCCCGCACGUGCCGCCCGGCCCCGCCUCACCUCGCCGGCCCCGCCACCGCUGCCGCCG
rnacentral:lncRNA from 1 species